GGGGAGCCUUCUUCACUGAUUGAGAGAUGGAAAUCAGGUGGAUCAUGUGAUUGUGGUGGAUGGGAUUUGGGUUGCCAAAUAAGAUUACUUGUCAAUCAUAGAACGAUAUCCAGUUGUCUCAAACCCGAACGUAAUGCUGAAAGAUUUGAACUUUUAUUUCAGCAGGGGGGAGAGCAGGACAACACGCCAGUCUUCAGCUUGUCCCGGUUCAAGGAUGGGAUCUUUUCAGUUGAAUUCAGUUCGUCGCUAAAGCUUCUGCAGGCAUUCUCCAUUUGUAUAGCAGUUCUAAAUGGUAGAAAUCAAGAAAUCUUUUGAAGUGAAUCCAGAGGGAGCCCAGGUGGAGUUUUCUGCUAAAUUUGUAUCACUUUCCCCAAUAGGAAAAGUCUGAAAUUUCUACCGAACAUCAAACUAAGGCUCUAUAGUUCUUUUUAUUAAAACUAUAGCUAAGCUUGUAGAAUAUCAGUCCUCUAUUUUG
rnacentral:misc_RNA from 1 species